ACUACAAAAGCAAAUGCCCAUUCUUGAUUAUGCUGUAGCACAGAAUUCCUGGCUUCUUUCUGUUGCCCAGUUGACUUGUGCCAUUCUGCUGCUGCAGUGUGGAGUUGAGAAACAUGA
rnacentral:snoRNA from 1 species